rnacentral:tRNA from 1 species
CGCGGGGUGGAGCAGCAGCACGGUAGCUCGUCGGGCUCAUAACCCGAAGGUCGCAGGUUCAAAUCCUGUCCCCGCAACCA